GAUGAAGAACGUAGCGAAAUGCGAUAAGUAAUGUGAAUUGCAGAAUUCAGUGAAUCAUCGAAUCUUUGAACGCACAUUGCGCCCAUUAGCAUUCUAGUGGGCAUGCCUGUUCGAGCGUCAUUUCAACCCUUAAGCCCCGUUGCUUAGCGUUGGGAGCCUACAGUACUGUAGCUCCCCAAAGUUAGUGGCGGAGUCGGUUUCACACUCUAGACGUAGUAAUUUUUUCUCGUCUGUAGUCGAGCCGGUCCCCUGCCGUAAAACACCCAAUUUAUCAAGGUUGACCUCGGAUCAGGUAGGAAUACCCGCUGAACUUAAGCAUAUCAAUAAGCGGAGGA
rnacentral:misc_RNA from 1 species